ACACGCGAUAUGUAUACAUUAUACAUACACACACAUUACACAUGAUAUGCACGUCCACAUUCGGUGGUCCAACGACGUUCGUGCACAUCGACGCAUACGACUGUCGUUAUUCUCUGGGCGCGAAGAAAGUCGUAUAAUAUUACAAUAACGACUGCUCUGCUUUGUCGACGAACUGCGAAACUUGAACCAAGCCGACUCAGGACGAAACAUGGAGGCACUGUUGGAGGAAAGGAUUCAACUGCUGCAGGAGCGCAUGAAAGCGAUCACUGCGCAGCGAGAACAAAUCGAACAAGCUAAUCGCGGGCUAGAGGAAGAGCUCAACAAGCUCAGUAAGAAUUUUGUGAAAAUUACGAACAAUGUCAAAGUCACAGAUGAAACAGAAGAAGAAAAAACGAAUUAAUCAGUUCCUUGAUGUAUUCAAUUAUAUUAAUUGAACUAUAACAAUAAUUACUUAAAACUACUUUGAA